UACGUAGGGUGCAAGCGUUGUCCGGAAUUAUUGGGCGUAAAGAGCGUGUAGGCGGCCCGAUUAGUCCGCUGUGAAAGUCCAGGGCUCAACCCUGGAAUGCCGGUGGAUACUGUCGGGCUAGAGUCCGGAAGGGGCGAGUGGAAUUCCUGGUGUAGCGGUGAAAUGCGCAGAUAUCAGGAGGAACACCAAUGGCGAAGGCAGCUCGCUGGGACGUGACUGACGCUGAGGCGCGAAAGCUAGGGGAGCAAACAGG
rnacentral:rRNA from 1 species